CCUACGGGUGGCAGCAGUGGGGAAUAUUGGACAAUGGGGGCAACCCUGUUCCAGCCAUGCCGCGUGUGUGAAGAAGGCCCUCGGGUUGUAAAGCACUUUCAGUGAGGAAGAACGCCUGGUGGUUAAUACCCAUCAGGAAAGACAUCACUCACAGAAGAAGCACCGGCUAACUCCGUGCCAGCAGCCGCGGUAAUACGGAGGGUGCGAGCGUUAAUCGGAAUUACUGGGCGUAAAGCGCGCGUAGGUGGCUUGAUAAGCCGGUUGUGAAAGCCCCGGGCUCAACCUGGGAACGGCAUCCGGAACUGUCAAGCUAGAGUUCAGGAGAGGAAGGUAGAAUUCCCGGUGUAGCGGUGAAAUGCGUAGAGAUCGGGAGGAAUACCAGUGGCGAAGGCGGCCUUCUGGACUGACACUGACACUGAGGUGCGAAAGCGUGGGUAGCAAACAGGAUUAGAUACCCCUGUAGUC
rnacentral:rRNA from 1 species